UCACUAACAGUUCAUCAGUGGUAUAAUACUCCCUUAGCAUGGGAGUGGUCCAGGGUUCGAUUCCCUGUUCGUCCA